GACGAACGCUGGCGGCGUGCUUAACACAUGCAAGUCGAACGGAAAGGCCCUGCUUUUGUGGGGUGCUCGAGUGGCGAACGGGUGAGUAACACGUGAGUAACCUGCCCUUGACUUUGGGAUAACUUCAGGAAACUGGGGCUAAUACCGGAUAGGAGCUCCUGCUGCAUGGUGGGGGUUGGAAAGUUUCGGCGGUUGGGGAUGGACUCGCGGCUUAUCAGCUUGUUGGUGGGGUAGUGGCUUACCAAGGCUUUGACGGGUAGCCGGCCUGAGAGGGUGACCGGCCACAUUGGGACUGAGAUACGGCCCAGACUCCUACGGGAGGCAGCAGUGGGGAAUAUUGCACAAUGGGCGGAAGCCUGAUGCAGCAACGCCGCGUGCGGGAUGACGGCCUUCGGGUUGUAAACCGCUUUCGCCUGUGACGAAGCGUGAGUGACGGUAAUGGGUAAAGAAGCACCGGCGAAAUACGU
rnacentral:rRNA from 1 species